rnacentral:rRNA from 1 species
GCGCACUACAAUGACAAAGUGAAUGAGUGAAACCUUCGGGUCCUGCUCCGACAGGAGUGGGAAAACUUCGAAAACUAUGUCGUGCUUGGGAUCGAAGCUUGCAAUUAUUCUUCUUGAACGAGGAAUGUCUAGUAGACGUGCUUCAUCAAAGCACAUUGACUACGUCCCUGCCAUUUGUACACACCGCCCGUCGUUGUUACCGAUGUCAGUUUGAUACAGGACGACGGACGGCAGCGCCCCCCGGGGAGCCGCCGGAAGUCGACCGAUAUUAAACUAGUAGAGGAAGCAAAAGUCGUAACAAGGUAGCUGUAGGUGAACCUGCAGCUGGAUCA